rnacentral:rRNA from 1 species
CAGUAGGGAGGAAGGCAGUGUCGUUAAUAGCGGCAUUGUUUGACGUUACCUACAGAAGAAGCACCGGCUAACUCCGUGCCAGCAGCCGCGGUAAUACGGAGGGUGCGAGCGUUAAUCGGAAUUACUGGGCGUAAAGCGCAUGCAGGCGGUCUGUUAAGCAAGAUGUGAAAGCCCGGGGCUCAACCUUGGAACAGCAUUUUGAACUGGCAGACUAGAGUCUUGUAGAGGGGGGUAGAAUUUCAGGUGUAGCGGUGAAAUGCGUAGAGAUCUGAAGGAAUACCGGUGGCGAAGGCGGCCCCCUGGACAAAGACUGACGCUCAGAUGCGAAAGCGUGGGGAGCAAACAGGAUUAGAUACCCUGGUAGUCCACGCCGUAAACGAUGUCUACUUGGAGGUUGUGGCCUUGAGCCGUGGCUUUCGGAGCUAACGCGUUAAGUAGACCGCCUGGGGAGUACGGUCGCAAGAUUAAAACUCAAAUGAAUUGACGGGGGCCCGCACAAGCGGUGGAGCAUGUGGUUUAAUUCGAUGCAACGCGAAGAACCUUACCUACUCUUGACAUCCAGAGAACUUACCAGAGAUGCUUUGGUGCCUUCGGGAACUCUGAGACAGGUGCUGCAUGGCUGUCCUCACCUC